AUGAGGAUCAUCACACACAUGUCUCUGUCAGUCACUGAAUCAAUGAGUUUGAUUUGCAGAGAUCUCCUCAAAGAAGACAGCGACGCUGGGGUGUGUGGCCAGCGCGGGCUUCCCUCAAAGAAGACAGCGACACUGGUGUGUGUGGCCAGCAAGGGCUUCCCGUCAGACUGGAGCCUGAGCUGGAAGGUGGACGGGAGCAGCAGGUCUCAGGAGAGCAGCGCUGGGCUCCUGGAGAAGGACGGUCUGUACAGCUGGAGCAGCAGCCUGACUCUCUCUGAGCAGGAGUGGAUGGAGAGCGUCUCAGUGAGCUGUGAGGCCACACGGUGCGGCCAGCCUGCGCUCACUGCACACGUGACGAGACAGCAGUGUUCAGAGUAGAUCUGCUGCUCUUCUCACUCGUGUCUCACUGGAGACUAACAGCACAUGAGCGACUCCUUCAUUCUCCACAUCCAGCUUCAGUCGCUCUCA